GGGGGAGUGGUGAAAUAAGGCAAACACGCGGAAGUGGGACUUCCGUGGACUUACGUCCUUGCGGGUUCGACCCCCGUCUCCCCCACCA
rnacentral:tRNA from 1 species